rnacentral:rRNA from 1 species
UGGGGAAUUUUGGACAAUGGGCGAAAGCCUGAUCCAGCAAUGCCGCGUGUGUGAAGAAGGCCUUCGGGUUGUAAAGCACUUUUGUCCGGAAAGAAAUCCUUGGCUCUAAUACAGUCGGGGGAUGACGGUACCGGAAGAAUAAGCACCGGCUAACUACGUGCCAGCAGCCGCGGUAAUACGUAGGGUGCAAGCGUUAAUCGGAAUUACUGGGCGUAAAGCGUGCGCAGGCGGUUUGCUAAGACCGAUGUGAAAUCCCCGGGCUCAACCUGGGAACUGCAUUGGUGACUGGCAGGCUAGAGUAUGGCAGAGGGGGGUAGAAUUCCACGUGUAGCAGUGAAAUGCGUAGAGAUGUGGAGGAAUACCGAUGGCGAAGGCAGCCCCCUGGGCCAAUACUGACGCUCAUGCACGAAAAGCGUGGGGGAGCAAACAGGAUUAGAUACCCCUGGUAGUCCACGCCCUAAACGAUGUCAACUAGUUGUUGGGGAUUCAUUUCCUUAGUAACGUAGCUAACGCGUGAAGUUGACCGCCUGGGGAGUACGGUCGCAAGAUUAAAAACUCAAAUGAAUUGACGGGGUCAUAGCUGUUUCCU